UGAUUAACUAGCAACCAGAAGAACAAACAAAAAGAGAGAAAGAAAGAUAUGUAUGCUGUGUAUCUUUAAAAUGCUUUGCAAAACAAUGUCUUUGGUAUUUCUAUCACUGAGGCCCAUCUGUGCAACUGCUGGGGGUAAAACACGAACCGGAGUCACAUAAAAGUUGUGCAUCACAGCCCCUGAUCCGAUGCUAUAAGCCAUGCAUGCACCAUCGCUCCAGUUUUCUUAUUCAGUGAGGCGUUCUGCUUGCUAAUUUGAACCUGAGGACUCCCCCAGCUGAGACAAUGGACACUGGGGUCGCCCCCACCAGCUUCCAGCCAGUGGAUUAGCCCCCACCCCCAGCUCCUGAACUGCACCCCACCACCCUCCCUUGGAAAAUGUACUUUUGCCCAGUAUUUCUGCAGUUUUC